CUGGUUGAUCCUGCCGGCGGCCACCGCUAUUGGAAUACGAUUAAGACAUGCGAGUCGAGAGACGUAAGGUCUCGGCAGACCGCUCAGUAACACGUGGAUAACAUGCCCUAAGGUGGGGGAUAAUCUCGGGAAACUGAGGAUAAUACCCCAUAGGUCUAGCAUGCUGGAAUGCUACUAGGCCGAAAACUCCGGUGCCUUAGGAUUGGUCUGCGGCGUAUCAGGUUGUAGUGGGUGUAACGGACCCCUAGCCUAUGACGCGUAAGGGCCUUGAGAGAGGGAGCCCUGAGAUGGACUCUGAGACAUGAGUCCAGGCCCUACGGGGCGCAGCAGUCGCGAAAACUUCACAAUGGGGGAAACCCCGAUGAGGGAAUUCCAAGUGCCAGCACAUUGUGUUGGCUGUUCUCUGGUCUAAAAAACCGGAGAAGUAAGGGCCGGGUAAGACGGGUGCCAGCCGCCGCGGUAAUACCCGCGGCCCAAGUGGUGGUCGAUAUUAUUGAGCCUAAAACGUCCGUAGCCGGUCUUGUAAAUCCUUGGGUAGAUCGACCAGCUCAACUGUUCGAAGUCCGGGGAGACUGCAAGACUUGGGAUCGGGAGAGGUGAGAGGUACUUCUGGGGUAGGGGUAAAAUCCUGCAAUCCUAGAAGGACCACCGGUGGCGAAGGCGUCUCACUAGAACGAAUCCGACGGUGAGGGACGAAGCCCUGGGGCGCAAACGGGAUUAGAUACCCCGGUAGUCCAGGGUGUAAACGCUGCGGGCUUGGUGUUGGGGGUCCUUUGAGGGCGCCCAGUGCCGGAGAGAAGUUGUUAAGCCUGCUGCUUGGGGAGUACGUCCGCAAGGAUGAAACUUAAAGGAAUUGGCGGGGGAGCACCGCAACGGGAGGAGCGUGCGGUUCAAUUGGAGUCAACGCCGGG
rnacentral:rRNA from 1 species